UUAAGCGACUAAGCGUACACGGUGGAUGCCCUGGCAGUCAGAGGCGAUGAAGGACGUGCUAAUCUGCGAUAAGCGUCGGUAAGGUGAUAUGAACCGUUAUAACCGGCGAUUUCCGAAUGGGGAAACCCAGUGUGAUUCGUCACACUAUCAUUAACUGAAUCCAUAGGUUAAUGAGGCGAACCGGGGGAACUGAAACAUCUAAGUACCCCGAGGAAAAGAAAUCAACCGAGAUUCCCCCAGUAGCGGCGAGCGAACGGGGAGCAGCCCAGAGCCUGAAUCAGUGUGUGUGUUAGUGGAAGCGUCUGGAAAGGCGUGCGAUACAGGGUGACAGCCCCGUACACAAAAAUGCACAUAUUGUGAGCUCGAUGAGUAGGGCGGGACACGUGGUAUCCUGUCUGAAUAUGGGGGGACCAUCCUCCAAGGCUAAAUACUCCUGACUGACCGAUAGUGAACCAGUACCGUGAGGGAAAGGCGAAAAGAACCCCGGCGAGGGGAGUGAAAAAGAACCUGAAACCGUGUACGUACAAGCAGUGGGAGCACGCUUAGGCGUGUGACUGCGUACCUUUUGUAUAAUGGGUCAGCGACUUAUAUUCUGUAGCAAGGUUAACCGAAUAGGGGAGCCGAAGGGAAACCGAGUCUUAACUGGGCGUUAAGUUGCAGGGUAUAGACCCGAAACCCGGUGAUCUAGCCAUGGGCAGGUUGAAGGUUGGGUAACACUAACUGGAGGACCGAACCGACUAAUGUUGAAAAAUUAGCGGAUGACUUGUGGCUGGGGGUGAAAGGCCAAUCAAACCGGGAGAUAGCUGGUUCUCCCCGAAAGCUAUUUAGGUAGCGCCUCGUGAAUUCAUCUCCGGGGGUAGAGCACUGUUUCGGCAAGGGGGUCAUCCCGACUUACCAACCCGAUGCAAACUGCGAAUACCGGAGAAUGUUAUCACGGGAGACACACGGCGGGUGCUAACGUCCGUCGUGAAGAGGGAAACAACCCAGACCGCCAGCUAAGGUCCCAAAGUCAUGGUUAAGUGGGAAACGAUGUGGGAAGGCCCAGACAGCCAGGAUGUUGGCUUAGAAGCAGCCAUCAUUUAAAGAAAGCGUAAUAGCUCACUGGUCGAGUCGGCCUGCGCGGAAGAUGUAACGGGGCUAAACCAUGCACCGAAGCUGCGGCAGCGACACUAUGUGUUGUUGGGUAGGGGAGCGUUCUGUAAGCCUGUGAAGGUGUGCUGUGAGGUAUGCUGGAGGUAUCAGAAGUGCGAAUGCUGACAUAAGUAACGAUAAAGCGGGUGAAAAGCCCGCUCGCCGGAAGACCAAGGGUUCCUGUCCAACGUUAAUCGGGGCAGGGUGAGUCGACCCCUAAGGCGAGGCCGAAAGGCGUAGUCGAUGGGAAACAGGUUAAUAUUCCUGUACUUGGUGUUACUGCGAAGGGGGGACGGAGAAGGCUAUGUUGGCCGGGCGACGGUUGUCCCGGUUUAAGCGUGUAGGCUGGUUUUCCAGGCAAAUCCGGAAAAUCAAGGCUGAGGCGUGAUGACGAGGCACUACGGUGCUGAAGCAACAAAUGCCCUGCUUCCAGGAAAAGCCUCUAAGCAUCAGGUAACAUCAAAUCGUACCCCAAACCGACACAGGUGGUCAGGUAGAGAAUACCAAGGCGCUUGAGAGAACUCGGGUGAAGGAACUAGGCAAAAUGGUGCCGUAACUUCGGGAGAAGGCACGCUGAUACGUAGGUGAAGUCCCUCGCGGAUGGAGCUGAAAUCAGUCGAAGAUACCAGCUGGCUGCAACUGUUUAUUAAAAACACAGCACUGUGCAAACACGAAAGUGGACGUAUACGGUGUGACGCCUGCCCGGUGCCGGAAGGUUAAUUGAUGGGGUCAGCGCAAGCGAAGCUCUUGAUCGAAGCCCCGGUAAACGGCGGCCGUAACUAUAACGGUCCUAAGGUAGCGAAAUUCCUUGUCGGGUAAGUUCCGACCUGCACGAAUGGCGUAAUGAUGGCCAGGCUGUCUCCACCCGAGACUCAGUGAAAUUGAACUCGCUGUGAAGAUGCAGUGUACCCGCGGCAAGACGGAAAGACCCCGUGAACCUUUACUAUAGCUUGACACUGAACAUUGAGCCUUGAUGUGUAGGAUAGGUGGGAGGCUUUGAAGUGUGGACGCCAGUCUGCAUGGAGCCGACCUUGAAAUACCACCCUUUAAUGUUUGAUGUUCUAACGUGGACCCGUGAUCCGGGUUGCGGACAGUGUCUGGUGGGUAGUUUGACUGGGGCGGUCUCCUCCUAAAGAGUAACGGAGGAGCACGAAGGUUGGCUAAUCCUGGUCGGACAUCAGGAGGUUAGUGCAAUGGCAUAAGCCAGCUUGACUGCGAGCGUGACGGCGCGAGCAGGUGCGAAAGCAGGUCAUAGUGAUCCGGUGGUUCUGAAUGGAAGGGCCAUCGCUCAACGGAUAAAAGGUACUCCGGGGAUAACAGGCUGAUACCGCCCAAGAGUUCAUAUCGACGGCGGUGUUUGGCACCUCGAUGUCGGCUCAUCACAUCCUGGGGCUGAAGUAGGUCCCAAGGGUAUGGCUGUUCGCCAUUUAAAGUGGUACGCGAGCUGGGUUUAGAACGUCGUGAGACAGUUCGGUCCCUAUCUGCCGUGGGCGCUGGAGAACUGAGGGGGGCUGCUCCUAGUACGAGAGGACCGGAGUGGACGCAUCACUGGUGUUCGGGUUGUCAUGCCAAUGGCACUGCCCGGUAGCUAAAUGCGGAAGAGAUAAGUGCUGAAAGCAUCUAAGCACGAAACUUGCCCCGAGAUGAGUUCUCCCUGACUCCUUGAGAGUCCUGAAGGAACGUUGAAGACGACGACGUUGAUAGGCCGGGUGUGUAAGCGCAGCGAUGCGUUGAGCUAACCGGUACUAAUGAACCGUGAGGCUUAACCUU
rnacentral:rRNA from 1 species